UACAGAGGGUGCAAGCGUUGUUCGGAAUUACUGGGCGUAAAGCGCGUGUAGGCGGCGUCGUUAGUCGGAUGUGAAAGCCCUCGGCUCAACCGAGGAAGUGCAUCCGAUACUGCGAUGCUUGAGUGUUGGAGGGGGUGGCGGAAUUCCCGGUGUAGAGGUGAAAUUCGUAGAUAUCGGGAGGAACACCUGUGGCGAAGGCGGCCACCUGGACAACAACUGGACGCUGAGACGCGAAAGCGUGGGUAGCAAACAGG
rnacentral:rRNA from 1 species